CCAUAUCUUGUAUAUUUUUGUGUUGAAUGGCAGUAGAAGUUUUAAUUGGGGGGUGGUAAACAGAACUCUGUCUAGCUCAAAGUUUGAAGCUAAAGAGGUAGGUUAUGAAAGUUUAAGGAGUUGCCGACAUGAUGAAAGUGACAAGUUUCAAUGUGAUUGAAAUAUAUCAAAUUGGAGGGGGCAGGACUGGGGUCUAGAAAAAGGAUGAAGAUUGCAACGCCUUGAAGUUGGACCGCUGGGGAUAAAGAAUUGCGAUAAACUUUCCUCACCACUUGCUGCUCGACUUGAACAGGGGCUUGCAAUUAAAGCUUCCAGCUUACUUCAAUUACCUCAAUUCUUUGGCUAGUCCCUGGCCAAUGAACAUGAUCUAUAGGUGCUUUCAAGAUCAAAGCAGCAGAUCAUUAGACUCUGCCAACUUUGCUUCCAAUUUCAUUGGAUUCUUUCUUUUUGGUCAUCAGAUCGCCUCAGAUGUUACAUUCUGGUUGUAUUUUUGCAUACCCAUAUCGUUUUGACAUUUACAUGAUGUUCACUAAAGAUGCGAGUGGCAAACAUGUGACCUUAAUCAUGAUAAGCUUUUAUGAUUCUUUAGGGGCAUGAAAUCCAGGGGUUUGAAUGGAUAUAUAGCAUUUGUUUGUUCUC